rnacentral:rRNA from 1 species
AACGAACGCUGGCGGCAUGCCUAACACAUGCAAGUCGAACGAGACCUUCGGGUCUAGUGGCGCACGGGUGCGUAACGCGUGGGAACCUGCCCUUAGGUUCGGAAUAACUCCCCGAAAGGGGUGUUAAUACCGGAUAAUGUCUUCGGACCAAAGAUUUAUCGCCUUUGGAUGGGCCCGCGUUGGAUUAGCUAGUUGGUAGGGUAAAAGCCUACCGAGGCGACGAUCCAUAGCUGGUCUGAGAGGAUGAUCAGCCACACUGGGACUGAGACACGGCCCAGACUCCUACGGGAGGCAGCAGUGGGGAAUAUUGGACAAUGGGCGAAAGCCUGAUCCAGCAAUGCCGCGUGAGUGAUGAAGGCCUUAGGGUUGUAAAGCUCUUUUACCCGGGAUGAUAAUGACAGUACCGGGAGAAUAAGCUCCGGCUAACUCCGUG